rnacentral:rRNA from 1 species
CAGCAGCCGCGGGAAUACGAAGGGUGCAAGCGUUAAUCGGAAUUACUGGGCGUAAAGCGUGCGUAGGCGGUUUGUUAAGUCUGCUGUGAAAUCCCCGGGCUCAACCUGGGAAUGGCAGUGGAUACUGGCAAGCUAGAGUGUGUCAGAGGAUGGUGGAAUUCCCGGUGUAGCUGUGAAAUCCGUAGAGAUCGGGAGGAACAUCAGUGGCGAAGGCGGCCAUCUGGGACAACACUGACGCUGAGGCACGAAAGCGUGGGGAGCAAACAGGAUUAGAUACCCCAGUAGUCACUGUCUCUUAUAC